UACGGAGGUCCCCAAGGGUUGCCCCGGAGUGACUGGGCGUAAAGGGUCCGUAGGCGGUCUGGUAAGUCUCCUGUGAAAGCUGCCCGCUCAACGGGCAGAGGUCAGGAGAUACUGCUGGACUGGGGACCGGCAGGGGGGACCGGAAUUCCCGGUGUAGCGGUGAAAUGCGUAGAUAUCGGGAGGACCAUCAGUGGCGAAGGCGGGGCGCCAGAACACGCCCGACGGUGA
rnacentral:rRNA from 1 species